rnacentral:lncRNA from 1 species
AAAAAAUUUGUCCUUUGUUCUCUCUAAUGUUACAUGGUUUACAUUCAAAAGUUAAGGAACUAAUUUACUUUGAUUGUAAAUCAUCGUGUUUUUAAAUGGAACAUGGAAUGUAACAUCCUGGUGGUCGGGGAUUUUUGUCAGUUUUGUUCACUGAUGAUCCCGAAGUUCCUAGAAGAGCCCCUGGCAGAACAGUGGAUGUUCGGCAAACGCUCACUUGGGCAGACGGAUGGAGGAAUGGAUGGAUGGAUGGACGGACGGACGGACGGAUGGACUGACGCCUGCCUUUGACCUCUAUUGUGUCUGUGCUACCGUUCAUACUGGCUGCAAUUUCUGAGCGUGGAAAACCUGUGUUCUUUCCCAGCCUGAGGAAACAGCUCUGCAACAGGCUUUUGUGUCCCCAUGGCAGGAGAGAAAGUUUGCAGGCGAAAGGUCACUGCGAGAGACUGGCCGGCAGGCUCUCAGUCAGUUUCAUUUUCUCCCUGGUCACGGUCGAGACUAGAUUUCCCAGACUCCCUGCAGGUAGGUGUGGCCAACUCACUGGUUCCAG